rnacentral:lncRNA from 1 species
AUGAUUUUUACCUGGUGGACGUCCCUACCGAGGGCCACUAAGCAGAAGCCUUGUGCCGUGGUGCUGGGUUGGUGCCAGCAUGUGUGCUGCUGCAUGGGCUUGGUGCGAGAGGGAAACAGGACUCAGAAAGGCUUCCUGAGGGUUUUGAAGUCCUGGUUGGGAGUGGACACUGCUGUCUCCAAGGUUCUCGGUGAACUUAAAUGCUUCCACAAGUACAGCUGCUGUCAGUCAGGAGAGCUGGAUAAAGAGCAAAAGGAGAAAAGGGAAGAGCAAAUGGAUGUUUAUGGCUGCUUAGGAUAUGCUUAUGCACAGGUGAACUACAAACAUCCAGGAAAGACUGCACCCAUCACCCUGAUCUUGAGAAGCAAUGUCUUAUGUUCUUCAAUAUACUUAAAACUAAAAGACGUUUCAGUCCUCCUUGUGUUGAUUCGGUCUUCUUUAUGA